rnacentral:rRNA from 1 species
AGUGAACGCUGGCGGUAGGCCUAAUACAUGCAAGUCGAACGGCAGCACAGUAAGCGCUUGCUCUUACGGGUGGCGAGUGGCGGACGGGUGAGGAAUACAUCGGAAUCUACUUUUUCGUGGGGGAUAACGUAGGGACACUUACGAUAAUACCGCAUAUGACCUACGGGUGAAAUCAGGGGAUCUUCGCACCUUUCCUGACUGAUUGAGCCGAUGUCGGAGUAGCUAGUUGGCGGGGUAAAGGCCCACCAAGGCGACGAUCCGUAGCUGAUCUGAGAGGAUGAUCGGCCACACUGGAACUGAGACACGGUCCAGACUCCUACGGGAGGCAGCAGUGGGGAAUAUUGGACAAUGGGCGCAAGCCUGAUCCAGCCAUACCGCGUGGGUGAAGAAGGCCUUCGGGUUGUAAAGCCCUUUUGUUGGGAAAGAAAAGCAGCAGGUGAAUACCCCGCUGUUCUGACGGUACCCAAAGAAUAAGCACCGGCUAACUUCGUG